GUCCAUGGCCAUGCCACCCUGGACAAGCCUGAUCUCGUCUGAUCUCGGAAGCUAAGCAGGGUCGGGCCUGGUUAGUACUUGGAUGGGAGACCACCUAGGAAGACCAGGUGCGGUAGGCA
rnacentral:rRNA from 1 species